rnacentral:tRNA from 1 species
GCCCGCGUAACUCAGUCGGUAGAGUGAUCGGCUUUUAACCGAUAUGUCCAGAGUUCGAGCCUCUAUGUGGGCG